AAAAUCCCCUGCAGCAUUAACCAAAGUACUUAAUUCACAAAUUUUUCAUAAUCUCCUGACUCUAUUGUCGGAUCGUUUGCGCUAACCAUUAAUCCCAAAAAACUCGCGCCGUUAAAAAUACGCAAUCAAUUUACUUAAAGCGUACAGAUAUAACGCCCACGGGUCUCAAUUGUGAUUCGGCCCAUCCGGCCUCACGUCAUUUCGAAUAUAACUCGGCCUACCCAGCCUCACACCAUUUUGAACGUGACUCGGUCCAACCUGAUCUCCCGCCAUAGAAUAGGAUGCUGGUCCAUUUAAGCCAACAUCUGCAAAUUAAGGUCCUGUUUGGAUGCAUAGCCGAAAAACUCUACUAGAUUUAUAUAUUGUGAUUUAGGCAUGGGUUAAUAAUAAAUAUAUUGCAAUUGUAAUGUUUAUAUAGAACUUCAUAUUUCGGCAGCUCUAUGUUUUAGGUUAUUUGGAUACACACUGUUUGAGGAAGGUGAGUGGAUUUUGUUUUAACUCUAUUUUUUAGCCCUUAGAUUAACUAGAUCGAUCUUUUGGAUAAUAUUGUAUCUGAGCCAAUUCUAAACUCAUUUUUUCUGUUAGAUUAUAAAUUCAGUCUCAUCUUUAAUAUUUUACCCGUUGAAUUUUCGCAGAAUAUAAUAAGUUAAAUUUCUAUUUUUUAUCUUGCCUAUCAAUUUUAGGUGCUUUCUGUGAGUGGACCUUGUCGAUUAGAUUGAAACAUAUACAGUUCCUCGCAAAUAUAGUAAAUUACAAAUAUAUUCUUGUAAAGUUCAACUUUUAUAAGUUAUUUCUGCAAAAGUUUCUAAUAUUUUCAGAUAUGUUCCUACAGUUAGAAUUUGUUGGAAAAGUUUAGUUAACCAUAUGUUAAAUGCUUUACCCUAAUUAAUUUUUGAUAUUUUUACUCCUUUUAUAUUAUACUGUUAUAAUUUUUAGAGGGACAUAUCUGUGAUAGUAAAACUGAAAAUAUAAACAGUUUUCUAAUAAUUCUCUAACGGUAAUAAACCAGAGGGACAUAUCUGAAAAUAUUAGCACUUUUGCAAAAAUAACUUAUAAAAGUUGAAGUUUGUAGUAGUAUAUUUAUAAUUUACUAUAUUUACGGGGAUCUGCAUUGUACGCAAUAGGUCAUUAAAAAAAGAAAAAAAUAAUGUAAAAAGGAAAAAUUGUAAUAA
rnacentral:lncRNA from 1 species